CGCGCCAUCGUCGCGGAUGUUUUUUCUGUAGGCUGGAGUGUAUCCCGAGGAUAUUAUAAUCCUCCCUUCAGUAAGGUGACCACACACACGCCUCUGUGAGUUCGCCCUGUUCUCUGCUAGACACGAGAAGUAUUAUGGUGUAUGGCGUGAGAGGGGGACUGGAAAGUUCCUCACAUUCUGCUGCCUGCACCUUGGGAGAGGCAGGGGACCCGUGCCAGAGCUGGAGCCCUGGCAGCAGUCUGAUGUCCAUCUUCAGUGCCGGCCCAGCACUGCUUCUCAUGCCAGUGGGACCAAAUUGAAGGCCAAGUCUUGACUGAUGCGCGGUAUAGCUGAAGCCUCCGACCACCACACCUGACUGGGAGCUUAUCGGCCUGUGCAGGAGGGUCUGAGCCACCCAGACAUGAGAGGGAGAUGAGCUCCCCUGAUAAGUCUGCGGAUGCGGAGGGGGCCCGGGAGGCUGGACCCGCAGAUGGAUGGGCCUUUUCCCUGGCCGCCGGCAGCUCUUAAGCUUGUGUAACCAUCCUCAUCUCUUACUCCUUCAAGUAUCCCUUUCUCUCCAAGGAAGACCAGAUCAGCACCCAUCAUCUCUGCAUAGCCGAUGAACGUGCCUGUGAUUUACAUUUCAGAGAAUGGGGAGUCUAUCAAUCCAUUUAUCUGCUUUGUAAUGCCUUUAUCAUUAAAUUGAACCUUGUGCUCUCUCUCUCUCUCUCUCUCUCUCUCUCUCUUUCUAUCUCUCAUUUUCCUGGCACUUUAAUAGUAUUACGGUGAGUCUCCUUUUCCAACUUGAUUAAUUAAUUUGAUCUCAGGUCCAUCCAUUUAUGUUAAAAAGGAGAUUUCUGUUUAACACACCUGGAUUAUUUAAGGCACAUUUUAAUUUUUAUAAAAUCUGUCAAGGUUUUCUUUUCACCUCCAGAAGCAGGUUGAGCCUCACAGUUCUCCUUUCCUUCACCACCAUCCAGUAUUAAAGAUGUAUUAUUUGUUUAAAAAUAGAUGUUUAAUUCAACUAAUGGACAAUUUUAACAACAGAGUGGAUUAUUUCAUCAGAUCAUUUGAAAUUUUGCUUCAUGUUUUCCAAAAAAACUAUCUCCC